rnacentral:rRNA from 1 species
GACGAACGCUGGCGGCGUGCUUAACACAUGCAAGUCGAACGAUGAAGCCUAGCUUGCUAGGUGGAUUAGUGGCGAACGGGUGAGUAAUACGUGAGUGACCUACCUUUGACUCUGGGAUAAGCCUGGGAAACUGGGUCUAAUACCGGAUACGACCAAUCUCCGCAUGGGGUGUUGGUGGAAAGCGUUAUGGAGUGGUUUUAGAUGGGCUCACGGCCUAUCAGCUUGUUGGUGAGGUAAUGGCUUACCAAGGCGACGACGGGUAGCCGGCCUGAGAGGGUGACCGGCCACACUGGGACUGAGACACGGCCCAGACUCCUACGGGAGGCAGCAGUGGGGAAUAUUGCACAAUGGGCGCAAGCCUGAUGCAGCGACGCCGCGUGAGGGAUGACGGCCUUCGGGUUGUAAACCUCUGUUAGCAUCGAAGAAGCGAAAGUGACGGUAGGUGCAGAGAAAGCGCCGGCUAACUACGUG